rnacentral:rRNA from 1 species
AUGGAGAGUUUGAUCCUGGCUCAGGACGAACGCUGGCGGCGUGCCUAAUACAUGCAAGUCGAGCGGACGAAUCGAAAGCUUGCUUUUGAUUCGUUAGCGGCGGACGGGUGAGUAACACGUGGGCAACCUGCCCUGUAGACGGGGAUAACACCGAGAAAUCGGUGCUAAUACCGGAUAACACGAAAUGUCGCAUGACGUUUCGUUGAAAGACGGCGCAAGCUGUCGCUACAGGAUGGGCCCGCGGCGCAUUAGCUAGUUGGUGAGGUAACGGCUCACCAAGGCGACGAUGCGUAGCCGACCUGAGAGGGUGAUCGGCCACACUGGGACUGAGACACGGCCCAGACUCCUACGGGAGGCAGCAGUGGGGAAUAUU